GAUGAGCCAAGAUUUGUAGCCAUAAGCUACUAAUGAUUUUUAACUGAAGAGUUUGAUCAUGGCUCAGAUUGAACGCU
rnacentral:rRNA from 1 species